AUUGAACGCUGGCGGCAUGCCUUACACAUGCAAGUCGAACGGCAGCGGACCUUCGGGUGCCGGCGAGUGGCGAACGGGUGAGUAAUAUAUCGGAACGUACCUUUCAGUGGGGGAUAACGUAGCGAAAGUUACGCUAAUACCGCAUAUUCUGUGAGCAGGAAAGCAGGGGAUCGCAAGACCUUGCGCUGAUUGAGCGGCCGAUAUCAGAUUAGCUAGUUGGUGAGGUAAAGGCUCACCAAGGCGACGAUCUGUAGCGGGUCUGAGAGGAUGAUCCGCCACACUGGAACUGAGACACGGUCCAGGCUCCUACGGGAGGCAGCAGUGGGGAAUUUUGGACAAUGGGCGCAAGCCUGAUCCAGCCAUGCCGCGUGAGUGAAGAAGGCCUCGGUUGUAAG
rnacentral:rRNA from 1 species